rnacentral:lncRNA from 1 species
CAAGAACUACUGUUAUUUGUUCUUACCAUCCAAUGUGAAGUCUCUCGCCCUUUGGCAGCAAAAUUGUAGGCUUUAGAUCUCAUCAUUGGUUCAUACGAAAUACAAAGGAAUAGCAAUUCAACACACCAAAAGCCUUCAUUGGAUUAUUAAAUGUAGAAACCUUCCAUACGUUAGAGGUAAACGUGGAGUACUGACCAUGGGUGCAUUUAUGAAAUUGUCAAAUUACUUGGACUUGGAGAGGGAUUAGAGCGGCGGUAGCGAUCGACGAAUCAAAUAGGUGAUUUGGGAAAAUUUUAAGACACUUGGAAAGGAAAUGAAAAGGGUUUGGGUGGAAAUCUAAGAUGACUGAUUGAUGACGAUGUCACCGGCUAAAAUCUGUAAACAAGAUCAAUUAGGCUAAGAGGAGAACAAUGAAAACAAAACGUAAAGGAAAGGAGAGGAGAGGAAAAGGAAAGUGG